rnacentral:lncRNA from 1 species
GAGUGGAGGGGGGAAAUGCUUAUUUUUCUCUAUUUUUCCACAACUAAAAUGUUCAUACCACUUCCAAAUGCAUGUGGGUUGUUGGAGCUUCACACAAUAAGAGGAAAAGUUAUUACUCGAGCCAUUUGGAUGAAGAGAGAAUUCAUGUCUCCAUAACUGUAAUCUCUCUAAGGUAAUGAAGGUAAUGAAGGCAAUUUCACACAAGGUAAUGAAGGUAAUGUGCAGAAAGGUCUUCAAAUUUCAAAUAUUUUUCUUAAUUGGUGACAGCUUGGCCAUGAUCGCGAAUGGUUUCCAUAACCGCGUGACGAACGAGUGAGAUGCACAGGCAAAACACUUGCGCAUGAUCUUCAAGAUGCGCAAUCGAUUACCAAAAUCGGCCAAUUUUGCACACCUAAAUUUCUCAGCAACAGACACCGAUCCUAGCUUAUAUAAAUCAUUCCUGAAAGAUCCUCCCAGUAAAUACCCUCAAGCACCUUUUUACACC